CCGGCAGCUUGUAUACUGACUGCAUCUGCACUUUUAAAACUUUAGGCUUCUGAUUUGCUGCUUAAAGAAAAGCUACAGCUCUCAAAGCUCUACCUUUGUUUAUGAGCGAAAAGUGAAACUUCCUGAAGUCUUGCCUGGACACAGACCCAGAAGACACUCACACAGAAGGGAUAAGGAAGGGGGUCUUAACUGUCGUUGAAGAUGAUGUUGCCACCAUCCAUUCAACCCCAAAUGUAAGGUGCCUGUCUGUGGUUUUAGAGGAGCAAGUUGUGCUGGAUAAUGUGCAAGACGUCCCUACAGCUGUUGCUCUCCUAUUUGACUUGAUUUAUGCCAUCAAAAUCCUUCGCUCUCCUAAAGAACUAAAAUACACGUUUGAAACUAUUCAGAAAGUGUUUCUUGGCCUUGACCCCCAGUGCUCUGCAAGAGUCCAGUCCUUCAACAACAAACUGUUCAAGUUGAAGUAGCUGCAGUUCAUAUGGCUGAUCAAAAGUGCAAGUACGGAUUUGUUCCUGUUUGUUUAGUAGCUGUAUCACAGUACAACAUAGGCCAAAGUCAGUUUUGAGUUUUAGUGUAAGGUUUUAUGACUGUUAAGUUUUGUUUAUAACAGCUGUAAUACUUGAUUGCUCUUGCGAUGUGUUGAAACUCUGCUUGUUUAUUGCUGCAGCAUUAAGAUUGUUGUUCUGGCACUUUGAGAACAUUUUUUUACUCCAGCACUUUAAAAGCAUUUUUUGUAUUUUUCCAACAGUUUAAAAGCAUUUGUGUUGUUUUACUCCAGCAUUUUAAAGGCAUUAAAAGAUUGCCUUUUUUGUCUUUGAUUUUAUUUCAAUUUUAUUAAUACAGUGGAACCCACUUAUCUCGCCCUCGGUUAACUCGACAACACUAUUAAGUCGACGUUUUUGAAGCAGAAUCGCCAAAUUCUCACUUUGUCUUAGCAUUUUUUAAUCAGUUAUGUCGAUUCUUUUAUGUUGACGAACCCUAAUAUCUCGAGCACAAGGAGGGGCAAA